GCCACUUUAGCUCAGUUGGUAGAGCAGCGCAUUCGUAAUGCGCGGGUCGGGAGUUCGAGUCUCCUGAGUGGCU
rnacentral:tRNA from 5 species